rfam:Oryza sativa Japonica Group DNA, chromosome 3, cultivar: Nipponbare, complete sequence.
AAAAAGACAAACUAUGGGUUUCCGUGCCAACGUUUGACUAUCUGUCUUAUAUGAAAUUUUUUUUAUAAUUAGUAUUUUCAUUGUUGUUAGAUGAUAAAACAUGAUUAAUACUUUAUGCGUGACUUAUCUUUUUAAUUUUUUUUUCAUAUUUUUUCAAAUAAAACGAACGGUCAAACGUUGUACACGGAAACCAUGGUUUGUCUUUUU